rnacentral:rRNA from 1 species
AACGACUCUCGACAACGGAUAUCUCGGCUCUCGCAUCGAUGAAGAACGUAGCGAAAUGCGAUACUUGGUGUGAAUUGCAGAAUCCCGUGAACCAUCGAGUCUUUGAACGCAAGUUGCGCCCGAAGCCACUAGGCUGAGGGCACGUCUGCCUGGGUGUCGCGC